GCUUGUCUCAAAGAUUAAGCCAUGCAUGUCUAAGUAUAAACUGCUUAUACUGUGAAACUGCGAAUGGCUCAUUAAAUCAGUUAUAGUUUAUUUGAUGGUACCUCUACUCGGAUAACCGUAGUAAUUCUAGAGCUAAUACGUGCGCAAAUCCCGACUUCUGGAAGGGACGUAUUUAUUAGAUAAAAGGCCAGCCGGGCUCACGCCCGACCUGCGGUGACUCAUGAUAACUUCACGAAUCGCACGGCCUUGUGCCGGCGAUGUUUCAUUCAAAUUUCUGCCCUAUCAGCUUUCGACGGUAGUGUAGUGGACUACCGUGGCGCUAACGGGUGACGGAGAAUUAGGGUUCGGUUCCGGAGAGGGAGCCUGAGAAACGGCUACCACAUCCAAGGAAGGCAGCAGG
rnacentral:rRNA from 1 species